rnacentral:rRNA from 1 species
GGGUCAGUAGGUUGGUCGUGCCACCGGUACGUACUGGUCUCACUGAUUCCUCCUUCCUGAAGAACCGUAAUGCCAUUAAUUUGGUGUUGCGGGGAAACUGGACUGUUACUUUGAAAAAAUUAGAGUGUUUAAAGCUAGCUAACGCUUGAAUACAUUAGCAUGGAAUAAUGAAAUAGGACGAUCGAUCCUAUUUUGUUGGUUUCUAGGAUUGACGUA